UUUGAUCAAUGGAAUUUUUUAUCUCGAAUGAAAUAUUUUCCUUUCAUUAUUUACACAGAUCUUCAGUGGUGUUUUUGUUUUGUAUUUUAUUUUUGCUCGUGUUGUAGGAAGAAUUUGUUGAACAUGCUUCUUUCUGAUUCUAUCUUCCUCUUGUUUUGUUUUUUGAUUUCUUGAACCCAUUAAUGAAGUUGUAUUCCUUACUUAUGUCUUACCAAAUUUCAUUAACUCUUUUCAAAAACAACUAGUAAAUUGAGCUCUUGGUUCCACUUUAUUUGAAUCAUUGACAAGCCAAAUAACUUAUAUUUGUUAAAUGUUAUAAUUUCUUUAGUAGAAUACUCAGGCAUGAGAAGUUCAAAUAUUCAAUUUGCGCAAUCUAUUUAUGGGAAUGACCAAUUACAAGUAAUUUUUUGCCUGAAGUUCUUAAACAUGUAAGUUUUGUAAUAUUGUAUCCUCGUGAAAAAGUUUUGCCUUGUUUCUGACCACUUCACUUUUUUUUAUUCAACUUGUUUCUGAAAACCCACUUGGUUUCAAUAAUGUUAUUCUUUGGUCUAGGUACUAGACCCCAAACAUCAUUCCUCUUAAAUUCAUUUAAUUCUUCUUGCAUUGCAAAAGUCCAUCCAUCAUUUUCAUUUCCAACGAUUAGUGUUUCACUACGACAUGACUUCUACUUCCAUCCAUAUUUUCCUUUUGAUUUAUCUUGGUCUAGUCAAAUUCAUCUUUUGAUGAUGUGCUUGUAUCCUCUGAUUUUUUAAGUUCUUUUGGUUUGUCUGCAUCUGCUUCCUCAGGUUCCAUUAAACCUGCACUAUCAUCAAUUUGCUUUGAAUUUUCAAGCUCAAACUGUGUCAUAUAACAUAAUAUAAAUUAGAUAAUUUAACAAUGAAACAAUACAACCUAAAACACCAAUUUUAUUUCUGGUGGUUUAUGCUUGUUUCUGAUGAAGCAAACUUGUAUUAUGCUUAUGCUAAAAUGUUCAUAUUUGUGAUUCUCCUGGUUCCUCUAAAUUUUUGAGAACCUGCAAAAUACUUAUCUAGCUUUGAUUUUUAAGAUCAAGCUUCUAGUUAUCACAGUAGACAUAAUAUCAUAUAAUAAUUAAAUUUAAAGAAAGAUAUAACCUAUAUUUCUCCAGUUUCACUCUUAAAACCCUUUUAGUUUCAGAUUCUUAAUUUGCAUAUUAUCUAAUUAGAGGGUUUGGAUGAAGGGAUGUGAAUUCCCAUCCAGGUUUGUAGCCUUGAUGAAUUUGAUUGGUGUUUUCAGAGAAGUUUCCUAAUUUUGAUUGUUCAUCUGACAUUUCUAUUUUUGCUGAUGUAUCAGGUUCCUCUGGUAAUUCCUAUUCAUCAUAUGGUUCUUAUUUUUCUGAUAGUUAUGGUUCAUCAACUAGUUUUGAUUCAGAUAGGUAUUGUGCCGACUAGUCCUACUUCCACCAGAGUCAGGUCUUGGAACAAAGACCUUUUUCCCUCUAUAAGUUGCUAGCAUCCACUUACCAAAUGCCAUGGUUGGUGUUUUAACUUGGUUGUUUAGAACAUCUGCAACAUAAACAAUUUUGUCUUUUGGUAACCAAAUUUGGUUGGGUCCUAGUUUGUUAGUCUUGAAAGGUUUUAUGUAUUUCCUUGUAUUUAACAUGGGACAAGAUAAUUUGGAGUGACCUUUCUUAUAUCAAGCAGUACAAAAGACAUUAGAGGGUAUAGGUUGAGGUUCAGUUACAGUUUCUUCAAAUCAUAGAAGCAUAUUUGCUUCUUUCCAUACUAUUAGCAAGAAAAUAUUGAAACACUUUUUCAUGCUUAUCAAAGUUAUAUGUGGUAUUUUCAAUUGAUGUUGAACUAUAAUUACUUUUCAAAGUUAGAUUUUCA
rnacentral:lncRNA from 1 species